rnacentral:rRNA from 1 species
AUCGAACGCUGGCGGCAGGCCUAACACAUGCAAGUCGAACGAGUGGCGGACGGGUGAGUAAUGUCUGGGAAACUGCCCGAUGGAGGGGGAUAACUACUGGAAACGGUAGCUAAUACCGCAUACCAUCGGAUGUGCCCAGAUGGGAUUAGCUAGUAGGUGGGGUAUUGGCUCACCUAGGCGACGAACCCUAGCUGGUCUGAGAGGAUGACCGGCAAAACGGGAACUGGGACACGGUCCAAACUCCUACGGGGGGCAGCAGUGGGAAAUAUUGCACAAUGGGCGCAAGCCUGAUGCAGCCAGGCGGCGUGUAUGAAGAGGGCCUUCGGGUGGUAAAGUACUUUCAGCGAGGAGGCGUUACUCGCAGAAGAAGCACCGGCUAACUCCGUGCCAGCAGCCGCGGUAAUAC